AAUAUUGCACAAUGGGGGAAACCCUGAUGCAGCGACGCCGCGUGAGUGAAGAAGUAUUUCGGUACGUAAACUUCUAUCAGCAAGGAAGAUAAUGACGGUACUUGACUAAGAAGCCCCGGCUAACUACGUGCCAGCAGCCGCGGUAAUACGUAGGGGGCAAGCGUUAUCCGGAUUUACUGGGUGUAAAGGGAGCGUAGGUGGUAAGGUAAGUCAGAUGUGAAAGGCCAGGGCUCAGCCCUGGGACUGCAUUUGAAACUAUCUUACUAGAGUGCAGGAGAGGUAAGUGGAAUUCCUAGUGUAGCGGUGAAAUGCGUAGAUAUUAGGAGGAAUACCAGUGGCGAAGGCGGCUUACUGGACUGUAACUGACACUGAGGCUCGAAAGCGUGGGGAGCAAACAGG
rnacentral:rRNA from 1 species